rnacentral:lncRNA from 1 species
AUUUUGCUUGAUGCAAUAAUGGGUUUCUGUUUUCUACUGUGUUUUAAUCUCUCAACACUUGUGGUGGGUCUAGACUGUAGAGAAAGAGUCUUCGUGUAGUAAAGAUUAAUGAGUUUUUUUUUCGAAGGACAAAAACAAGGGUAUGCCAAAGGAACUCUUGAAUUACAAAAAGAAAAGGAAGAAGGGACAGAGGAAGGAGGAGGAGAGAGAGUAGGAAUUAUAGAGAGAGCAUAGGUGGGCAUGAUUGAUGAUUGGUGAAGGUUAAAUACAUGUAUGAAUUGGUGGUUACUUGUAGGAGAGAGAGUUGGGUUUUGGGCAUUAUUUCAAUUUGAUUUGAUUUUGAUUAAUAUAUUUCGUGGAGACAGUAGAGUCUGAGAGAGAGACAGGGGAUUCCGAGAAGAGAGGAGGAAGUGUACAAUGGAUAUUCUUUUUCAGGUUGGGGUGAAAAUGGAAUAAUCGGAAGGAGUUCAAAGUAUAUGCUUGCUAUGCUACCACCAUUGCUGACUGAUUGAGGUGAGGUCCAAAUUCUAUCCUUACACGGUAGAGGGGAUAAUUUUCAAGAUUUUAGAAUUAUCUAUUAGAGGAGACUAUAAGCCACGUUUUACAUACUACUAUAAUUAAUUUAUUUUAUUAUGUUUUUUUUACUCUGAAUUUGUAGUUGAAUUAGGGUUUAAAUACGUUUGAUUCAACAAGCCCACCCACCUGUUUAAACCAUUUAUGUUUUUGUUUGUUUCUUGGUUACACUUCCCAACAUUUGGAAAUUUAAUUUUAUGGACUAAAGAGAUGUUGAAAUAUAUUACAUGCAAUUUGCAACCCAUUUAAGUCGAAAAAUAAAAUAUAUUUAACAUCAUAUAGGAGGCUCAACAAUCUCACAAAUAAUAAUAAUAGUAAUAAUAAAUAAAAAUUAUUAAUUUUAACAUUUUAUAUUGUCAUAUAAAAUGUAUUAAAGUAUAACUGUAUAUACACACAAAAAAAACAUCUAAAUAUAUUUUGACACUAAAAAUCAAUAAUUUUUUGAAUCAAAUAAUUUUUGACUUGCGUAUGUAAGAUCCAAACUUUUUAUAAAUAAAGAUUUAAUUUCUCUAAUUAUUAUUUUGAAAUAGUAAGGGUUGAUUUGAUUAAUGUAGUUAGUUAUGGAUAAAAUGCGCAAAUAUUUCAAAUAAGCAAGUAGUUAUAAAAUAUUCAUUGUUGUCGGGGAAUAUUCGUUUGGUCGUGGAAUAUUCGUACUGUCGGGGAAUAUUCGUACGACGGCGCAGCUAUGUGUGGGCCCCAUAACAGAAAGCGAUUGGAGGAAGAAAACGACAAAAAUAAGUUGUUGUUACCGUCAAUACUGUUGGAAUACCCGGUAGUUAAAACACAGUAAUACUCGUUGUUGCACAGUAACACACGGUAUUGCACCAAUUAUUGAUUCUUACGUAAGAAGGCACUACUCAAUAAUUGUUACAGUAGUUACUGUUCAGUAUUUUAUUUUAUUGAUUCAAUAAUUACUGCUUUGAUAUUUUAUAUUACUGUUGUUUCAAUAAUUGUCACUACACAGUAUUUUCCAUUAUCGGAGCAAUAAUUCUUAUUAUCUGAAUAAUAAUAUUAGAAAAUAUUAUUGGCAAUGUCUAGAAAGUUCUGUCUAAGAAGAGGUUUGGUCACCUAAUUGCGCGCCAGUAAGGAGAAAUCUUUAUUGGAAAGCCCCCUCUUUCUUUGGAACUGCCUGAUUGUUAAUAAUGUGAUUCUGUAAUAUUAUUUAUGAAUAAUUAAUUAUUGAUAUAUAUAAUGAGAAAAAUAUUGAUUUUAUGAGGAUAUAGAUGGAGGAAAAUUUUAAUGUGACAAUUGUUGAAAAUUAAUAUUUUAUCUUUUUCUUAUAAAAUAAUUCUUUUAAAUAUAUUAUUUUUACAAUGAAUGUGGGAUAUAUGAGUAUAUGAGGAGGAAGAGUAUUUUUGUUGCAUUAAAUGUUUAACACAUGUUUUGUGUGUUGGUGGACACAAUUAUUGACCGAAAUUUGAUUAUAGCCUGUAAAAUCGCCCGUUUGUGGAUUUCGGUCAAUUUCUGUUUGGAAUUUGGAAAAACUUUCUUCUGCAAAGUUGUAGAGAAUUGAAUUUCCUAUAAAAAGUCGCGAGAUUCGAAUUUUCUGAUAAAAGGGCUAUUUAUUAUGAAUUAUUGAAGUUCCGAAGUUCCGAAAUAAUUGAUUUUUGGAAGUUUAAAAUAUUUUUAAUUACAAAAACGUUUUUUUCAUUUUUGAAACUCAUUUAACAUGUGAUUAGGAGGCUGAAUUCAGAUUGUUAGUGUGCGUAUGAAGUUGUGGAAAAAUUAUAAUAUUAAUUUAUUAAAUUUUCUACUUUGGUGUUCUAAGCAUUUUCCUAUAAAUAGGGUGCUUAGGUUAGAAUUGAAAAUCACACCAGAAACUGAAGUUUUCUCUCUCUAUAUUAUCGAGCGUAUUCUUGUGAGUAUUUUGAGUAUACUUUGAGUAUUGCUAUACGGUGCAAGUUCAAGUCAUAGCCUAUAUCCGGUGUUUCAACUAGAAGUACUGUCUUUCGAGGUAAGGGAUGUUAUUUUAUUCGAAAAUGAUAUUAUUUCUUCAAUAUCAUUAUGCCGAAAUAUUGGUUGGAAAUUUUUAUCAAAUUUGGAACUUUUUCAUGUCGGGGUUACUAUUCAUGAGUUACUAUUCACGAGUUACUAUUCAUGAGUUACUAUUCACGAGUUACUAUUCACGAGUACUAUUCACGAAGCGUGAAGAUGUUUUUUGUGAAAUUUCUAUCUUUUGGUGUCGGAGUUACUAUUCACGUAUACGGCACUAUUCACGUAUACGGCACUAUUCACGAAUACGGCACUAUUCACCGAAAAAUGAAAUUUCUUCUUUUUGUCCAAAAUAUCUAUUAUGGAUACUAGCUUUGAUUGUAUCCAUGUUUUGAUCAUUCUUGAAUUUUACACCACUAUGAUUAUUUUUGAGGUAUUUUUGGACGUGGAUAAAACAAAGUACGAAUCCUUAAUCCUUAAUCCUUGUCAUUUUGUUUCACUGGAUUCGUUUCUUUAAAAAAAUUUUUCAUCAUCCUCAGUCUUAAAUGAUGAUAUUAUUGAAUAUCUUUGGCCUGUAGUGCAAAGAUGAAUGAUUUCUGAUGAAUAUCUUUGGCCCGUAGUGCAAAGAUGAACAGGUGUUUAGAUGAACAUGACCAACUGAUGAAUAUCUUUGGCCUGUAGUGCAAAGAUGAAUAUUUGAUUCCAGAUAUAUAUUGAUUGAUGUUACAGGGAUAAAAGAUAGACGAUGAACUUUUAAAUUCAUACAUAGAAGAUAGUAGUUUGCAUUCUCUACUUAACUCUUCUAAUGAAUUAUUAUUUCCGCUGCGAAUAUUGAUUUAAAACUUGUUGUCUAUUGUAUUCUAUUAGAUUUUUCCCUGUUGAAGACUAACGAUAAUUUGUUGUAUAUUAUCUUAGUCAUAAUAUUCUUUACUGGGCUAGUUGAGCUCACCCUUUUCCUUUUUGUUCCAUUUUUCUUCUCAGGAGGCGAGAAUAUAGCGAGUACGAGUCGGGGUAUGGAAUGAAGGUUCUAGAGAGAGUUGUUUAGUAGUCCUCACCAUUUUUGUAAAAUAAUGUAUCAAUAAAUGUGAUGAGGAUUUAUUUGAGUAUAGAUAUUGUCUAGAAGAUAAUAUUUGUAUUCAAACUCACAGUUUUACUGUUGUAAUAAUAAAGUUGUAGUUGUUUCUGUACCAUGUAUUGACAACUCAGAAUGGGUGAUGUAUACCUAUUUUGGGGGCGUCACAGUUGGUAUCAGAGCUUAGGGAUAUGAUCUCUGGCGGAGAUCGGGGAAUAGAACUAGGAGGGGAGAGACGAGUAAAUCCUUCGCUAGUGUGUCCUACCUAAGCUUAUUUGUUAGUUGGUCAGUAUAUAGGGAUAUUAUGUGAUAUAUUGAUUUCCUUAAUUAACCCUUGUUUUAUGACAGUAUUUGAGAAUGUCGACUGAGAAUAUUAACAGUGGAAAUGAGACCGUGGAGACGCCUGUACUCACCAACGAGGAGAACGUGCAACAGGCUGGCAAUGUUCCUCCUGUGAACAACACCACUGAGCAGAUGAUGAACGAGGGGAUGUUUAGAAGCUUUUUGCAGUUCAUGCAAAAUCAGACGAGGGAGACUCGUGUUCAAAAUACAGGAGGAAAUGAUAGCAAUUCACGGGUUGUCACAGCCAAGCAGUUCAAAGAGUUGGGACCACCAGAAUUUAAGGGAAAGCCAGAUCCGAUCAUGGCGGAAACAUGGGUCAAGCAAAUUACCAAGAUAUUCGAUGUCUUGGGAUGCACGGAGGAACAGAAGGUUCCAUUCGCCACCUUUAUGUUCCGUGGCGAGGCAGAUUACUGGUGGGAGUUUGUGAAACGGACCCAGCCUGCCACACUCCACAUGUCUUGGGAAACGUUUCAAAAACUUUUCAACGAAAAAUACUUUCCUGAAAGUAUUCGCCAUAUGAAAGAGGUAGAGUUUAUUAGACUAGAACAAAACAACAUGACGGUGUCCCAAUACGAGGCGAAGUUCGUAGAGUUAUCCAGGUUUGCACCUCAUUUGGUAGAGAAUGAGGAACGAAUGACGAGGAUGUUUAUGAGAGGUUUAAAACCCGAGAUUCGGCAAUAUCUUAUCUCUCAUAAAUUUUCUUUAUAUUCAGAUGUUGUAAACAGGGCUCAAUUAUUGGAGCGAGAUAACGAGUACGGUCAAUCGAGGGUCCACAACCAGGAUCAUACCGGGGAUAGCAGUCAACAAAACAACGAUAACCAACGGAGAAAGAAAAAGACAGACAAAAAUGGUAACCACUCUGGUGGUAAUCAUGGUCAUGAAAACAAAAGAAGCGAGUCAGGAGGAGAUUUUAAAAAGAGGAGAUUUAACAACAACCAUGUGAAGACGACAGUGCCGGCAGCAACUGGUUCUAAGGGAGGAGAACGACCACNNNNNNNNNNNNNNNNNNNNNNNNNNNNNNNNNNNNNNNNNNNNNNNNNNNNNNNNNNNNNNNNNNNNNNNNNNNNNNNNNNNNNNNNNNNNNNNNNNNNUUAAGAUGCCUACAUUAGCUAAAAACAUAAUACAUGCCAAUAUAUACGUUCUCCAUAUAUGGAAUCCAUCUCCAAAGACGUAGUCAAUGACUCUAUGAUGAUAAUAUAUUAUGGCGGCGGUAAAAACCACCAUACAUUUGAUAAAACAACAUAAAUCAACUUACAGUGACAAGAACAUGUUAAAAAUAACUUUUUUAAUUAUUGCUGGUAAAAAUUGGCAACGAUUUUAGAACAAUAACAUAAAACGAUACAGCUACUGAACUACAUCAUUUAGUACAGCAAUGCCGUGCCAUUGCUAAGAAAAGCACCAAACUAGUUUCAAAAAACUAGAGGGGGAUACACAGACAUUAUAAUUUACAAAGAAAUCCUCAAAAUUGCACCUAACUAAAAUUCCUACCAACUUAUUUAAUGGACAGCGUCUCAUCAAAGUAUCAAGGUCACAAAAAAGGUCAUUGUUUAACCUCAAAUUUGAAGUCAACUCCUCUAACACAAUAAAGCUUCAACCAACUCAAAAUCAAAACACAAGCUUCAUCAGCAACAAGAGCAAAUAGAAUUGAUUAUGAUGGAAUAAAAUGUACUAAAAUUAAUUUGUAACUAAUAAAAAAAAGCAGAUUUAGACACUCACGCAAAAGGAGAGGGCUCUACAAAGAGAGCUAUACGCCUAGGUCUUGAAGUGAUCUCUGAUUCAAGAAAAGGAGGAGGAUUUUCUUCUUCCUCCUCUUCCCUUAUCUCUGUAAUGGUCAUUUUGCUUGAUGCAAUAAUGGUUUUCUGUUUUCUACAGUGUUUUAAUCUCUCAACACUUGUGCUGGGUCUAGACUGUAGAGAAAGAGUCUUCGUAUAGUAAAGAUUAAUGGGUUUUUUUUUCGAAGGACAAAAACAAGGGUAUGCCAAAGGAACUCUUGAAUUACAAAAAGGAAAGGAAGAAGGGACAGAGGAAGGAGGAGGAGGAGAGAGAGUAGGAUUUAUAGAGAGAGCAUAGGUGGGCAUGAUUGAUGAUUGGUGAAUGCUAAAUACAUGUAUGAAUUGGUGGUUACUUGUAGGAGAGAGAGUUGGGUUUUGGGCAUUAUUUCAAUUUGAUUUGAUUAAUAUAUUUCGUGGAGACAGCAGAGUUUGAGAGAGAGACAGGGGAUUCCGAGAAGAGAGGAGGAAUGGAUAUUCUUUUUCAG